rnacentral:rRNA from 1 species
UACAGAGGGUGCAAGCGUUGUUCGGAAUUAUUGGGCGUAAAGCGCGUGUAGGCGGCUUUGCAAGUCGGGUGUGAAAGCCCUCAGCUCAACUGAGGAAGUGCGCCCGAAACUGCAGAGCUUGAGUGCCGGAGAGGGUGGCGGAAUUCCCCAAGUAGAGGUGAAAUUCGUAGAUAUUGGGAGGAACACCAGUGGCGAAGGCGGCUCACUGGACCGGAACUGGACGCUGAGGCGCGAAAGCGUGGGGAGCAACAGG